ACGGGUGAGUAAUAUAUCGGAACGUACCCUAGAGUGGGGGAUAACGCAGCGAAAGUUGCGCUAAUACCGCAUACGAUCUACGGAUGAAAGUGGGGGAUCGCAAGACCUCAUGCUCAUGGAGCGGCCGAUAUCUGAUUAGCUAGUUGGUAGGGUAAAAGCCUACCAAGGCUUCGAUCAGUAGCUGGUCUGAGAGGACGACCAGCCACACUGGAACUGAGACACGGUCCAGACUCCUACGGGAGGCAGCAGUGGGGAAUUUUGGACAAUGGGCGCAAGCCUGAUCCAGCAAUGCCGCGUGAGUGAAGAAGGCCUUCGGGUUGUAAAGCUCUUUUGUCAGGGAAGAAACGGUGGGCUCUAAUACAGAUCACUAAUGACGGUACCUGAAGAAUAAGCACCGGCUAACUACGUGCCAGCAGCCGCGGUAAUACGUAGGGUGCAAGCGUUAAUCGGAAUUACUGGGCGUAAAGCGUGCGCAGGCCGUUGUGCAAGACAGAUGUGAAAUCCCCGGGCUCAACCUGGGAAUUGCAUUUGUGACUGCACGGCUAGAGUGUGUCAGAGGGGGGUAGAAUUCCACGUGUAGCAG
rnacentral:rRNA from 1 species